CCCGGCCCGCGCAGGGCCGCGCGUGCGUGUCCUCGGCGGAUUUCUCUUUGAAAUGUCGGCUGUUUAUUCCUCUCCACAGACGCGGCCUGAGCUGCUGAGUUGUUCCAGCCCAUUCUGAGUGUUAUUCAGGUGGAAGGGUUGCUUGUCGUUCGCAGAGAACCUUUUCAGAAGAUAGAACCGCCCAACGUCUGGCUGUCAGAAGCUGAAUUUUUACUGAAAUUGUUGGAUGAAGACUUCACAGGGUGUAUUUGGACCUCCAAACGCCACUUGAUAAGGAUCCACAUCAUGGAGUUGUUCUCAGUGCUGAUCUCUGUAGAAUAAGUGGCGUUAAUAGCAUGAAGAGAAAAAUAAUAGGAAGAGUAGCUUUUUUUCAAAAUCUGGUAUGGAGAUGCCAAUGCACAGUAUGGGAAAAGCUACCAUGGGUUGUAAACUCAGCCAACUCAUCAUAGGCACUAGCAGCCCCACCAUCAAGGACAUCUUCAAAAGGCAAUGCACAGGAUGACAACAUUCAUCAAGAAGGAAACUCACCAUUGAAGGCAUUCCCUCUUCUCAUAACUACCAUCAACGAGGUACGGAAGACUGAAGGUGCAUGCUCAAUGUUUUAGGAACAACUUCUUCCCCCCCACCAUCAGAUUUCUGGACAGUCCAUGAACACUAACUAUUUUGCUCUCUUUUUACACUACUUAUUUUGUUUUAAACAUAUUAUUGUGACUUAUAAUAAUAUAGUAAUGUCUAAUACUAGAGGGCAUGUAUUUGUGGUGUGGUGAGGUAGAAGUUGGGGAGGGAGUUCAAAGGAAAUGAGCAUGGCAAGUCUUUAAAAAUUUAUUAACACUAAAAUGUGCUACUAGGAUUAGUGGCGAAUCAGAUUUAUUACCAGGGAGUCAAAUGAGUUUUUCAACAGCAGUACACUGCGAAGCAUACAAAAAAAUUUACUAUAAGAAAUAUAAAUAAAUAAAUAAAUAAAUAGAUAGAUAGAUAGAUAGAUAGUGCGAAAAGAACUAAAUAGUGAGGUAGUGUUCAUGGACCACUCAGAUAUCUAAUGGAGGGAGAGAAGUCUCCUAUACUCCCUCCCUGAUGUUAGCAUUGUGCAAAGGUCAUUUCUGCAAGCCAGUAUGACUGGCAUUUAAGAGGCUCUUAGACAUGGAUAAAGAGAUAUGGACUUAAGUAGGUAGGGGGAUUAGUUCAAUUCAGCAACAUGACCCAAAGGGCUUGUUCCUGUGCUGUAUUGUUCUAUAUUUCAGCUUGGUUUCCUCACUGUAUUACAAUACAAGCUGAAUUAAAUAAGAGUUUCUGGAAACAGGAAAGUUGGCCACUGUGAAAUUUAUUUCUCACUGGAAACUCUUGCCUCUUUAUAUGAGUGCCUGGUCAUGUGCUUGACAUCUAGUGUAUGUUGGAUUCUGGUGUUUAGAUUUCAGGGUCCUUUUAGAGGUCAGGAGCAAGGCAUAAAACUUGUUGCUUCAUGAUUAUUUUAUUAAGAGUUGAUAAAACAGAGGAAACCGAAGAGACAGUGACAGGGAAAGCUAAGAGUCAUGAAUAAAAAUAUGGCGCCACAAAAACAGCUAUUUUAUACCACUAGAGAUAAGGACAAUUCCAUUCUAAUCGAUAGAAUAAUAAUCUAAUUAGGAAAUAUUUAGUCAAUACUGCUGUAAAAAGUUAACCAAUGAGAAGAACAUUAUUUUUCACUUAAUGGAGAGCUUCCAGAGCUUUCCAGAAUUAUACUUCAUGUAACUACUAGAGGUGUAUGAAAUGUUAGGCAUGUAAAAGCUACUUGAAAUACAAGCAGAUAAUUUAUUGUUAAACUGCAAAGAAAGUACAAUUGCACAGUUAAAUCUAAAGGUAGGAGCAUUCUACAUACUCACAUUCAUAAUUGUCAUCCCUGCAUCCACCCUCCCCACCAUUGACAGCAUCCAUAGGUUGUAUUACCUCAAGAAGGCAGCAUCUAUCAACAAAGAUCCCUACCAUAUGGGUCAUGCCCUCUUCACUCUGCUGCCUAAGCCUCAAAUCCCAGACCUCUAGGUUCAUGGACACGUACUUUCCUUCAACCGUCACACUUUUGAACUCUAACCCCACCUAAGUAAUGGAACACUAUGGGCCACUUCUUCCUCUACAAUAGAUGAAGACCAAAGGCAUUCUAGGUACUAAUUUCCCACAAUGCCACAAAAUUAAGUUACAUAUAGAAUUACUACAAAUACCUUAACAACAGCCGUGUCAAUCACCAUUAACCACCCUGUAUACAGUCUCCUUGCAUUUGGAACAGAGCUCCCACUGUUCUACGGAGGAGAAAGGCACAAAGGUUAAAAUACCAUUGAACAAUUACGCAACUUGGGUCAUGAAUGUGCAUCUCCAACACCAAAUCUAAUCUGCUUUUGCUUUACAGUAGUUCCUAAAGUGGAUGAUAUCACCCACCCCAGGGGUAGUGGGAGUCUCUAUGAGUGUGAUAAAGAUAAAGGGAGUGUAAAAGCAGCACUCAGUUGCUAGGGGAAUUACUUAUAAGCAUUUGAUCCUCAUUG